CUCUGUGUCCUGCAGUGCCCAGGCCUUGGUGCCUUUUUACCUGCCAGCUCCCUUUGCCCCCUGACAUGCUGCCAGGUGGUUGCUUAGCAACCUCUCCAGCCAGCUUGAGCAUCCUGGCAUAAAUUGCUGUUAGGCACCGGGAGAGAGUUUUUUUUCCCUCCUCUCUCUCUUGUGUUUUAAGCAAAGAGACAUCCUAAAAUAGGGCAUUUUUUUUUUCCUGUUCCUUUUUUCUGUGUGUGUGUGACAGACAACUCCUGUGUAAAUGUUGAAAUCUGUGUUGUCUGUCAGGAGCAGUCAAUCUGAAAACUUUGCUGAAGAGAAUGUAUAUUUAGUAACGGGUGACAAAGAGAGGAAGACAUUGAGAUGUCAAUUAUUCUGUCUUCCACACUGUGUCUGGCGCCAUAAAAACUUUGCAGAGGGAUGCGUGAAAGGAGAGAUGGAUGGAUGGAUGUGGGGAAGUGACCUGAGAUCAUCCUGUCCCACCGGAUGUGCCCAAGGGGAUGCCACUUGGCAGAGCUGGCCUGAGAAACUGCAGUGCUGGGCUUCAGGUCCUGUGGCUUUGCUGGAGGAGGUCAUCGAGAGGACAUGA
rnacentral:lncRNA from 9 species